rnacentral:rRNA from 1 species
UACAGAGGGGUGCAAGCGUUGUUCGGAAUUACUGGGCGUAAAGGGCGCGUAGGCGGCCUUCUAAGUCAGACGUGAAAUCCCCCGGCUUAACCUGGGAACUGCGUCUGAUACUGGGAGGCUAGAGUAUGGGAGAGGGAUGUAGAAUUCCAGGUGUAGCGGUGAAAUGCGUAGAUAUCUGGAGGAAUACCGGUGGCGAAGGCGGCAUCCUGGAUCAUUACUGACGCUGAGGCGCGAAAGCUAGGGGAGCAAACGGGG